rnacentral:tRNA from 2 species
UCCUGGUUAGCUGAGUUAGUAAAGCACUUCACUGGAAUUAGAGAGGUCUCUGGGUCGACACCAGGACUAGGCG